rnacentral:rRNA from 1 species
CACGCCGGACGAUUAUUGGGCCUAAAGCAUCCGUAGCCGGCUCUGCAAGUCUUCUGUUAAAUCCACCUGCUCAACAGAUGGGCUGCUGGAGAUACUACAGAGCUAGGGAGUGGGAGAGGCAGACGGUAUUCAGUGGGUAGGGGUAAAAUCCUCUGAUCCAUUGAGGACCACCAGUGGCGAAGGCGGUCUGCCAGAACACGUUCGACGGUGAGGGAUGAAAGCUGGGGGAGCAAACCGGAUUAGAUACCCGGGUAGUCCCAGCUGUAAACGAUGCAAACUCGGUGAUGCAUUGGCUUAUGGCCAAUGCAGUGCCGCAGGGAAGCCGUUAAGUUUGCCGCCUGGGAAGUACGGACGCAAGUCUGAAACUUAAAGGAAUUGCGGGNGGGAGCACAAG